rnacentral:rRNA from 1 species
GACGAACGCUGGCGGCGUGCUUAACACAUGCAAGUCGAACGGGUCUGCCCUGUUUUUUGCGGGGUGGGUCAGUGGCGAACGGGUGAGUAACACGUGAGUAACCUUCCCCUCACUUCUGGAUAACCGCUUGAAAGGGUGGCUAAUACGGGGUGUUCUUGCUGUGCCGCAUGGUGUGGCUGGGAAAGAUUCACUUUUGUGGUGUUUUGGUGGGGGAUGGGCUCGCGGCCUAUCAGCUUGUUGGUGGGGUGAUGGCCUGCCAAGGCUUUGACGGGUAGCCGGCCUGGGAGGGUGGGCGGUCACACUGGGACUGAGGUACGGCCCAGAAGCCUGCGGGAGGCAGCAGUGGGGGGUAGUGCACGAUGGGCGGAAGCCUGAUGCAGCGACGUCGCGUGAGGGAUGGAGGCCUUCGGGUUGUGAAACUCUUUCGCCGGUGAAGAAGGUCCUGCUCUUUGUGGUGGGGUUGACGGUAGCCGGGUUAUGAAGCGCCGGCUAACUACGUG